rnacentral:rRNA from 1 species
GUGUCAGCAGCCGCGGUAAUACAGAGGAGCCAAGCGUUGUCCGGAUUGACUGGGCGUAAAGCGCACGCAGGCGGUUGUGCGCGUGGGGUGUGAAAUCUGGCCGCUUAACGGCCAGGCGCCAUCCCAUACGGCACGACUGGAGGGAUGCAGAGGUCGAUGGAAUUGCCGGUGUAGUGGUGAAAUGCGUAGAGAUCGGCAGGAACACCCAGGGGGAAACCAGUCGACUGGGCAUUACCUGACGCUGAGGUGCGAGAGCGUGGGGAGCGAACCGGAUUAGAAACCCUGGUAGUCC